GAUGAACGCUGGCGGCGUGCCUAACACAUGCAAGUCGAGCGAACAGACGAGGAGCUUGCUCCUCUGACGUUAGCGGCGGACGGGUGAGUAACACGUGGAUAACCUACCUAUAAGACUGGGAUAACUUCGGGAAACCGGAGCUAAUACCGGAUAAUAUAUUGAACCGCAUGGUUCAAUAGUGAAAGACGGUUUUGCUGUCACUUAUAGAUGGAUCCGCGCCGCAUUAGCUAGUUGGUAAGGUAACGGCUUACCAAGGCAACGAUGCGUAGCCGACCUGAGAGGGUGGUCGGCCACACUGGAGCUGAGACGCGGUCCAGACUCCUGCGGGAGGCAGCAGAAGGGAAUCUUCCGCAAUGGGCGAGAGCCUGACGGAGCAACGCCGCGUGAGUGAUGAAGGUCUUCGGAUCGUAAAGCUCUGUUAUUAGGGAAGAACAAAUGUGUAAGUAACUAUGCACGUCUUGACGGUACCUGAUCAGAAAGCCACGGCUAACUACGUG
rnacentral:rRNA from 1 species